AUUGAACGCUGGCGGCAUGCUUUACACAUGCAAGUCGAACGGUAACAGGCCGCAAGGUGCUGACGAGUGGCGAACGGGUGAGUAAUGCAUCGGAACGUGCCCAGUCGUGGGGGAUAACGCAGCGAAAGCUGCGCUAAUACCGCAUACGAUCUAUGGAUGAAAGCGGGGGACCGUAAGGCCUCGCGCGAUUGGAGCGGCCGAUGUCAGAUUAGGUAGUUGGUGGGGUAAAGGCUCACCAAGCCAACGAUCUGUAGCUGGUCUGAGAGGACGACCAGCCACACUGGGACUGAGACACGGCCCAGACUCCUACGGGAGGCAGCAGUGGGGAAUUUUGGACAAUGGGCGCAAGCCUGAUCCAGCAAUGCCGCGUGCAGGAAGAAGGCCUUUGGGUUGUAAACUGCUUUUGUACGGAACGAAACGGUCCUGGUUAAUACCUGGGGCUAAUGACGGUACCGUAAGAAUAAGCACCGGCUAACUACGUGCCAGCAGCCGCAGUAA
rnacentral:rRNA from 1 species